GAUGAACGCUGGCGGCGUGCCUAAUACAUGCAAGUCGAGCGAACAGACGAGGAGCUUGCUCCUCUGACGUUAGCGGCGGACGGGUGAGUAACACGUGGAUAACCUACCUAUAAGACUGGGAUAACUUCGGGAAACCGGAGCUAAUACCGGAUAACAUGUUGAACCGCAUGGUUUAACAGUGAAAGACGGUCUUGCUGUCACUUAUAGAUGGAUCCGCGCCGCAUUAGCUAGUUGGUAAGGUAACGGCUUACCAAGGCAACGAUGCGUAGCCGACCUGAGAGGGUGAUCGGCCACACUGGAACUGAGACACGGUCCAGACGCCUACGGGAGGCAGCAGUAGGGAAUCUGCCGCAAUGGGCGAAAGCCUGACGGAGCAACGCCGCGUGAGUGAAGAAGGUCUUCGGAUCGUAAAACUCUGUUAUUAGGGAAGAACAAAUGUGUAAGUAACUAUGCACGUCUUGACGGUACCUAAUCAGAAAGCCACGGCUAACUACGU
rnacentral:rRNA from 1 species